rnacentral:rRNA from 1 species
GACGAACGCUGGCGGCGUGCCUAAUACAUGCAAGUCGAACGCACGAAGUUGAAGAGCUUGCUCUUUAACCAAGUGAGUGGCGGACGGGUGAGUAACACGUGGGUAACCUGCCCAUUAGAGGGGGAUAACAUUCGGAAACGGAUGCUAAUACCGCAUAGUUUCAGGAAUCGCAUGAUUCUUGAAGGAAAGGUGGCUUCGGCUACCACUAAUGGAUGGACCCGCGGCGUAUUAGCUAGUUGGUGAGGUAAUGGCUCACCAAGGCAAUGAUACGUAGCCGACCUGAGAGGGUGAUCGGCCACACUGGGACUGAGACACGGCCCAGACUCCUACGGGAGGCAGCAGUAGGGAAUCUUCCGCAAUGGACGAAAGUCUGACGGAGCAACGCCGCGUGAGUGAAGAAGGUUUUCGGAUCGUAAAACUCUGUUGUUAAAGAAGAACAAGGAUGAGAGUAACUGCUCAUCCCCUGACGGUAUUUAACCAGAAAGCCACGGCUAACUACGUGCCAGCAGCCGCGGUAAUACGUAGGUGGCGAGCGUUGUCCGGAUUUAUUGGGCGUAAAGCGAGCGCAGGCGGUUCUUUAAGUCUGAUGUGAAAGCCCCCGGCUCAACCGGGGAGGGUCAUUGGAAACUGGAGAACUUGAGUGCAGAAGAGGAGAGUGGAAUUCCACGUGUAGCGGUGAAAUGCGUAGAUAUGUGGAGGAACACCAGUGGCGAAGGCGACUCUCUGGUCUGUAACUGACGCUGAGGCUCGAAAGCGUGGGGAGCAAACAGG